rnacentral:rRNA from 1 species
CCUACGGGAGGCAGCAGUGAGGAAUAUUGGACAAUGGGCGCAAGCCUGAUCCAGCCAUGCCGCGUGCAGGAUGACGGUCCUAUGGAUUGUAAACUGCUUUUAUACGAGAAGAAACACUCCUUCGUGAAGGAGCUUGACGGUAUCGUAAGAAUAAGGAUCGGCUAACUCCGUGCCAGCAGCCGCGGUAAUACGGAGGAUCCAAGCGUUAUCCGGAAUCAUUGGGUUUAAAGGGUCCGUAGGCGGUUUAAUAAGUCAGUGGUGAAAGCCCAUCGCUCAACGGUGGAACGGCCAUUGAUACUGUUAAACUUGAAUUAUUAGGAAGUAACUAGAAUAUGUAGUGUAGCGGUGAAAUGCUUAGAGAUUACAUGGAAUACCAAUUGCGAAGGCAGGUUACUACUAAUGGAUUGACGCUGAUGGACGAAAGCGUGGGUAGCGAACAGGAUUAGAUACCCUGGUAGUCCACGCCGUAAACGAUGGAUACUAGCUGUUGGAAGCAAUUUCAGUGGCUAAGCGAAAGUGAUAAGUAUCCCCACCUGGAGGUACGUUCGCGAGAAGAGAACGUUAAAUAGUAAGUUAGUACGGACGUGAGACGUAGACCGAACGGACGACGACGAGGGAGGAGGG